ensembl:lncRNA
UUAUUGGAGCUAGAAAAGCCUGGUCAACGGCAAGGAAGAGGCCUGUUAGAGAACUGAGAGUAGGAUGCAUGAAAAUCUACUUGUAACAGUCCUUCUGUUUGAGAGAAGGUAGGAAGAUGGGGAGGUGAGGUUGGGAUGAGGGGCGGAGCCAAGAGAAGAAUCUGAAAGAGAUUGUGGGCGGGCCCUGGUAGGGAGAAAGAGAGAUGGUAGGCUUCUUAUCUUGUUAAGCCUUCAGAGUAAGAGGCUCCUUCUUAGCUGAGGAUGCUUAGAGAGCGGUAGGGUGUGCUGGGACUCCCGGCUCAUCACCACGCGGACCUUGCGGCUCCAGGAACAGCUGGGCUGGCAGCAAAGCCUCGCCCAUCCCCAAGCCCCAUCCUUUCAGCGGUAGCUAACCAUCAAAGAGCCAGGACUGCUUGGCACAUCCUUGGAGAAACCCAGGUUAAGAAAAGGAAGAAGAGGAGUUGUCGGAAAGAGAGAAAAGGAAGGAUGCGCCCCCCGGGAGCUGCGACGAUGCCGGCCCAUCUGAUCCCUCGGCACCAAUACGCCAUUGUGGGCUGGGGGAACCAGCUAGAGAAGCCGAGCGGGGGGCGCCGGCUGCCUCUGCUGAGACCGCCGCACAAUCCCUCCCUCGGACCCUCCAGAGCUGCUAUGGGAAGCCGGCCCACGAGGGCGAGCGGCAGCCCCAUGAUCCUGCCCCUGCUCUGGCUCUUUGUGCUCCUCAAGGUUACUGUGACUGUACUCUACAAUACAAACUUGUUGAAGAUUUUCCUGAGAAGUGGUGUGAAGUUGUAAAUUAAUUAUCUUCCACUCUGUCUUCAAGAGUUGUUUUAAUUUUUUCAUUAAGUCUCUGCAUUCCUCAGCAGAUUGAAGAAUGUAGACAAGAGAAUGGGAGCUGUCCUUUUAGUACUACAGUAAUACCUAAUCCAGGGCACCCAGGAGAUAUUAAUGGAUGGAAACAGUUCUCAUAUCAGAGAUGUUCAAUUCUUUUCUACUUCAUGAAUUAGUGAAUAUUUGUGUUUGAAACUGAUGCUACACCAAUGAAUGAUGGUUUGUUUUAAAUCUCUCACAUUUUCCACGAAAGUCCUGCUCAUCUUGCCAUAGUAGUGACUCUGGGUCAAAUGCUUAGCCAAACUACAAACUUUGACAGGUCCUACCAAGCUGCAAAAGCUUUGAGUAUAGGCCAAGUGAUGUCUGUUGUCUGGGGACAAGCCAAGACGAGAAAGGCUCAUCAUCAGUUUGGCUGCAUAAAAAAAUUGAUCUCAAAGAUCAUCUAAUGUAUAGAGGGAGUGACAUCUGUGCCAGUGAAAUGAAUGUUCCUACUUAUGAAAUUAUAAAUCCUUAAGUAUUAAGUAUAUUUGGACUUACUGUGAUGGCAAGAAAAUAAGACAUACAAGAAUAAGUUUAAAAAAAAUUCAUGAGCAACUUUUGCAAUGCAUUUUAGACCUACCAGGAGGAGCAACAACGGAAUAGAUUUAAAUUAAAUGAUUUAAUUUAACAAUUUCUAAAAGCUUUUUGUAUAGGGAAAAUUUGAUUAGCAUAGCACUUCCC